UACGUAGGGGGCAAGCGUUGUCCGGAAUUAUUGGGCGUAAAGAGCGCGUAGGCGGUCCUGCAAGUCCGCUGUGAAAGUCAAGGGCUCAACCCUUGAAUGGCGGUGGAUACUGCAGGGCUAGAGUCCGGAAGAGGCGAGUGGAAUUCCUGGUGUAGCGGUGAAAUGCGCAGAUAUCAGGAGGAACACCGAUGGCGAAGGCAGCUCGCUGGGACGGUACUGACGCUGAGGCGCGAAAGCGUGGGGAGCAAACAGG
rnacentral:rRNA from 1 species